rnacentral:rRNA from 1 species
GACGAACGCUGGCGGCGUGCUUAACACAUGCAAGUCGAACGCUGAAGCUCAGCUUUUGUUGGGUGGAUGAGUGGCGAACGGGUGAGUAACACGUGAGUAACCUGCCUCCUUCUUUGGGAUAACGCCCGGAAACGGGUGCUAAUACUGGAUAUUCACUGGUCUUCGCAUGGGGGUUGGUGGAAAGGGUUUUUCUGGUGGGGGAUGGGCUCGCGGCCUAUCAGCUUGUUGGUGGGGUGAUGGCCUACCAAGGCUUUGACGGGUAGCCGGCCUGAGAGGGUGACCGGUCACAUUGGGACGGAGAUACGGCCCAGACUCCUACGGGAGGCAGCAGUGGGGAAUAUUGCACAAUAGGCGCAAGCCUGAUGCAGCGACGCCGCGUGAGGGAUGGAGGCCUUCGGGUUGUGAACCUCUUUCGCUCAUGGUCAAGCCGCAACAAUGGUUGUGGUGAGGGUAGUGGGUAAAGAAGCGCCGGCUAACUACGUG